UACGUAGGUGGCAAGCGUUGUCCGGAUUUACUGGGCGUAAAGAGCGCGCAGGCGGUCGUUCAAGUCGCGUGUGAAAGCCCCCGGCUCAACUGGGGAGGGUCACGCGAUACUGAUCGACUCGAAGGCAGGAGAGGGUAGUGGAAUUCCCGGUGUAGUGGUGAAAUGCGUAGAUAUCGGGAGGAACACCAGUGGCGAAGGCGGUCAUCUGGCCCGGUACUGACGCUCAGGCACGAAAGUGUGGGUAGCAAACAGG
rnacentral:rRNA from 1 species